rnacentral:rRNA from 1 species
GGAUGUGACCUGGGGCUGGAGGGUUUCAGGUUAAAGUGGGCCUCUCGAAGAAGCUCAUGUACAGGGAUGGGCCUGCGUCCUAUCAGCUUGUUGGUGGGGUAAUGGCCUACCAAGGCGACGACGGGUAGCUGGUCUGAGAGGAUGAUCAGCCACACUGGCACUGGAACACGGGCCAGACUCCUACGGGAGGCAGCAGUGAGGAAUUUUGCGCAAUGGGAGCAAUCCUGACGCAGCAACGCCGCGUGGGUGGAGAAGGCCUUCGGGUCGUAAAGCCCUGUCAGGUGGGAAGAAGGGUCCUAUCAGGAAAGGGGUGGGAUUUGACGGUACCACCAGAGGAAGCACCGGCUAACUCCGUGCCAGCAGCCGCGGUAAUACGGAGGGUGCGGGCGUUAUUCGGAAUUACUGGGCGUAAAGCGCGUGUAGGCGGGGGAGCAAGUCUGAUGUGAAAGCCCCGGGCUUAACCCGGGAAGUGCAUUGGAAACUGUUUUUCUUGAGUACUGGAGAGGAAGGGGGAAUUCCCGGUGUAGAGGUGAAAUUCGUAGAGAUCGGGAGGAAUACCAGUGGCGAAGGCGCCCUUCUGGACGGUUACUGGCGCUGAGACGCGAAAGCGUGGGGAGCAAAUAGGAUUAGAUACCCUAGUAGUCCACGCUGUAAGCGAUGAGUGCUAGGGUGUUGGGUAGCGAUAUUCAGUGCCGAAGUUAACACAAUAAGCACUCCGCCUGGGGAGUACGGUCGCAAGACUGAAACUCAAAGGAAUUGACGGGGACCCGCACAAGCAGCGGAGCAUGUGGUUUAAUUCGAAGCAACGCGAAGAACCUUACCAAGGUUUGACAUCCCCUUGACAGAUGCAGAGAUGUGUCCUCUCCUUCGGGAGCAAGGGAGACAGGUGGUGCAUGGUUGUCGUCAGCUCGUGUCGUGAGAUGUUGGGUUAAGUCCCGCAACGAGCGCAACCCUUAUCAUUAGUUGCCAGCAGGUUAAGCUGGGCACUCUAAUGAGACUGCCGGUGAUAAACCGGAGGAAGGUGGGGAUGACGUCAAAUCAUCAUGCCCCUUAUAUCUUGGGCUACACACGUGCUACAAUGGUCGGUACAAAGGGAAGCGAAAGAGUGAUCUGGAGCAAAUCCCAAUAAACCGAUCCCCGUUCGGAU